GAUGAACGCUGGCGGCGUGCCUAAUACAUGCAAGUCGAGCGAACGGACGAGAAGCUUGCUUCUCUGAUGUUAGCGGCGGACGGGUGAGUAACACGUGGAUAACCUACCUAUAAGACUGGGAUAACUUCGGGAAACCGGAGCUAAUACCGGAUAAUAUUAUGAACCGCAUGGUUCAAAAGUGAAAGACGGUCUUGCUGUCACUUAUAGAUGGAUCCGCGCUGCAUUAGCUAGUUGGUAAGGUAACGGCUUACCAAGGCAACGAUGCAUAGCCGACCUGAGAGGGUGAUCGGCCACACUGGAACUGAGACACGGUCCAGACUCCUACGGGAGGCAGCAGUAGGGAAUAUUGCGCAAUGGGCGAAAGCCUGACGGAGCAACGCCGCGUGAGUGAUGAAGGUCUUCGGAUCGUAAAGCUCUGUUAUUAGGGAAGAACAUAUGUGUAAGUAACUGUGCACAUCUUGACGGUACCUAAUCAGAAAGCAACGGCUAACUACGUG
rnacentral:rRNA from 1 species